AGGGUGUCGUACUUGCGCGAGAAACAAGAUGAUCUGCAGUCGACCCCAACCCAAGAGAGAUGGUCAUGGACAAGAGAAGCAGAGAAGCGACUGGCUGCAGCUGCUCAAACCCAGACCAGACCCUCUUCUUCGAAUAGACCCCUCCCGCCUCCUCAUCCUCUCCAGCCCAGGUCUCCACCACAGCCGCCACUCCUAGCUCAUCCUCGCUUCGAACCCGUUGAUCGUGAAAAGACUUGCCCUCUGUUGCUCCAAGUUUUCACCAAGUACAUGAACCAGAUGUGACAUAAUCACUGGAUGUUUUGUUCACCUGAAGAUGGCGGCACGCUCUGCCUGGCACUCGUCAUAGCUACUGCUUUGUUCUUCUUGCUCUUGACUGUGUGUAAUCGACUACUUCUUUUGUGGCAUGUGAAUCUGCACAAAUUUGUUGGACCGGUAUCCAAACCCAUCAAUGAGAUUUAGAUCAUCAAUGUGGGAUCAUCUCUAGGCUCUUUGAUGGACUGUGUAGGUGGUAUAUAUGUGUUAUAUGCAAAUGGUCUGAGGAGGUAUUGUUUCUGACUUGCUGUGGUUUGUGUUGUCCCUUGUACACAUAAUCACAGCUAUGCCCCUUUCCCUUGAAAGUCUCUAAUUUUAUUGUUGGGUGUGUAGAUGGAUGCAUGUUUCUUUUUAUCUUGUUGGCUAAUUUUACUAGUUCUCCAUAUUUUCUGUUUUUAGGACAUUUGGUUAUUAUUUUGGUUUUGAAUUUAUUUAGAUUGGAAGUCAUCAUAAUGAGGAAGAUUUUGCAGUGAGAGGCAAGGAACCCAAAGAUGAGGUUCAAAUUUAUACAUGGAAGGAUGCAACGCUACGUGAAAUAACUUAUCUUGUAUGUUGUACGCCCAAUCCUAUCCUGUUCCAUUGAAUUAGAUGUUUUAUUUGUCCUGUAGAUGAUUUUAGUUUGUCAGGUUAAAGAGGUUGCUCCAGAGGCCAGGAGAAAAAGUUUCUUCUCCUGAAAUAAUUUUGUAAUCACCUUUAUUUGCGAGAUAUUGAGUAUCCCAUGACAUAAAUGGAUUAAGCCUUUGGGCAUACAUAACACCCUUCUGUGAUGAGCGCAUAUUGGUUGAAUGCGCAUGCAUAGAAAAAAUGUUACUGCGAUUUAUUCUUUAAACUUUCACAUA